UUCCGUAGGUGAACCUGCGGAGGGAUCAUUACAAGUGACCCCGGUCUAACCACCGGGAUGUUCAUAACCCUUUGUUGUCCGACUCUGUUGCCUCCGGGGCGACCCUGCCUUCGGGCGGGGGCUCCGGGUGGACACUUCAAACUCUUGCGUAACUUUGCAGUCUGAGUAAACUUAAUUAAUAAAUUAAAACUUUUAACAACGGAUCUCUUGGUUCUGGCAUCGAUGAAGAACGCAGCGAAAUGCGAUAAGUAAUGUGAAUUGCAGAAUUCAGUGAAUCAUCGAAUCUUUGAACGCACAUUGCGCCCCCUGGUAUUCCGGGGGGCAUGCCUGUUCGAGCGUCAUUUCACCACUCAAGCCUCGCUUGGUAUUGGGCAACGCGGUCCGCCGCGUGCCUCAAAUCGACCGGCUGGGUCUUCUGUCCCCCAAGCGUUGUGGAAACUAUUCGCUAAAGGGUGCUCGGGAGGCUACGCCGUAAAACAAACCCAUUUCUAAGGUUGACCUCGGAUCAGGUAGGGAUACCCGCUGAACUUAAGCAUAUCAAUAAGCGGAGGAAAAGAAACCAACAGGGAUUGCUCU
rnacentral:rRNA from 1 species